ACGAACACUGGCGGCGUGCUUAACACAUGCCAGUCGAACGGAAAGGCCCUGCUUUUGUGGGGUGCUCGAGUGGCGAACGGGUGAGUAACACGUGAGUAACCUGCCCUUGACUUUGGGAUAACUUCAGGAAACUGGGGCUAAUACCGGAUAGGAGCUCCUGCUGCAUGGUGGGGGUUGGAAAGUUUCGGCGGUUGGGGAUGGACUCGCGGCUUAUCAGCUUGUUGGUGGGGUAGUGGCUUACCAAGGCUUUGACGGGUAGCCGGCCUGAGAGGGUGACCGGCCACAUUGGGACUGAGAUACGGCCCAGACUCCUACGGGAGGCAGCAGUGGGGAAUAUUGCACAAUGGGCGGAAGCCUGAUGCAGCAACGCCGCGUGCGGGAUGACGGCCUUCGGGUUGUAAACCGCUUUCGCCUGUGACGAAGCGUGAGUGACGGUAAUGGGUAAAGAAGCACCGGCUAACUACGUG
rnacentral:rRNA from 1 species